UUUAUGGAGAGUUUGAUCCUGGCUCAGGAUGAACGCUGGCGGCGUGCCUAAUACAUGCAAGUCGAGCGAACGGACGAGAAGCUUGCUUCUCUGAUGUUAGCGGCGGACGGGUGAGUAACACGUGGAUAACCUACCUAUAAGACUGGGAUAACUUCGGGAAACCGGAGCUAAUACCGGAUAAUAUUUUGAACCGCAUGGUUCAAAAGUGAAAGACGGUCUUGCUGUCACUUAUAGAUGGAUCCGCGCUGCAUUAGCUAGUUGGUAAGGUAACGGCUUACCAAGGCAACGAUGCAUAGCCGACCUGAGAGGGUGAUCGGCCACACUGGAACUGAGACACGGUCCAGACUCCUACGGGAGGCAGCAGUAGGGAAUCUUCCGCAAUGGGCGAAAGCCUGACGGAGCAACGCCGCGUGAGUGAUGAAGGUCUUCGGAUCGUAAAACUCUGUUAUUAGGGAAGAACAUAUGUGUAAGUAACUGUGCACAUCUUGACGGUACCUAAUCAGAAAGCCACGGCUAACUACGUGCCAGCAGCCGCGGUAAUACGUAGGUGGCAAGCGUUAUCCGGAAUUAUUGGGCGUAAAGCGCGCGUAGGCGGUUUUUUAAGUCUGAUGUGAAAGCCCACGGCUCAACCGUGGAGGGUCAUUGGAAACUGGAAAACUUGAGUGCAGAAGAGGAAAGUGGAAUUCCAUGUGUAGCGGUGAAAUGCGCAGAGAUAUGGAGGAACACCAGUGGCGAAGGCGACUUUCUGGUCUGUAACUGACGCUGAUGUGCGAAAGCGUGGGGAUCAAACAGGAUUAGAUACCCUGGUAGUCCACGCCGUAAACGAUGAGUGCUAAGUGUUAGGGGGUUUCCGCCCCUUAGUGCUGCAGCUAACGCAUUAAGCACUCCGCCUGGGGGAGUACGACCGCAAGGUUGAAACUCAAAGGAAUUGACGGGGACCCGCACAAGCGGUGGAGCAUGUGGUUUAAUUCGAAGCAACGCGAAGAACCUUACCAAAUCUUGACAUCCUUUGGCAACUCUAGAGAUAGAGCCUUCCCCUUCGGGGGACAAAGUGACAGGUGGUGCAUGGUUGUCGUCAGCUCGUGUCGUGAGAUGUUGGGUUAAGUCCCGCAACGAGCGCAACCCUUAAGCUUAGUUGCCAUCAUUAAGUUGGGCACUCUAAGUUGACUGCCGGUGACAAACCGGAGGAAGGUGGGGAUGACGUCAAAUCAUCAUGCCCCUUAUGAUUUGGGCUACACACGUGCUACAAUGGACAAUACAAAGGGCAGCGAAACCGCGAGGUCAAGCAAAUCCCAUAAAGUUGUUCUCAGUUCGGAUUGUAGUCUGCAACUCGACUACAUGAAGCUGGAAUCGCUAGUAAUCGUAGAUCAGCAUGCUACGGUGAAUACGUUCCCGGGUCUUGUACACACCGCCCGUCACACCACGAGAGUUUGUAACACCCGAAGCCGGUGGAGUAACCUUUUAGGAGCUAGCCGUCGAAGGUGGGACAAAUGAUUGGGGUGAAGUCGUAACAAGGUAGCCGUAUCGGAAGGUGCGGCUGGAUCACCUCCUUUCU
rnacentral:rRNA from 14 species